GACGGAGGAUGCAAGUGUUAUCCGGAAUCACUGGGCGUAAAGCGUCUGUAGGUGGUUUAAAAAGUCCACUGUUAAAGGUUGAAGCUUAACUUCAAAAAUGCUGUGGAAACUUUUAAACUAGAGUAUGGUAGGGGUAGAGGGAAUUUCCAGUGGAGCGGUGGAAUGCGUAGAUAUUGGAAAGACCACCAAUGGCGAAGGCACUCUACUGGGCCAUUACUGACACUGAGAGACGAAAGCUAGGGGAGCGAACAGG
rnacentral:rRNA from 1 species